CCCUUAGAUGUUCUGGGCCGCACGCGUGCUACACUGAGUGGAUCAGCGGGUCAGGUUGCGCGAAAGCGUUUCCUAAUCUUGAAGUCCGCUCGUGAUGGGGAUUGACGGUUGCAAUUUUCUGUCAUGAACGAGGAAUACCUUGUAAGCGCGAGUCAUCAUCCCGCGCUGAAUACGUCCCUGCCCUUUGUACACACCGCCCGUCGCUCCUACCGAUUGAGUGGUCCGGUGAGGCUUUGGGAUCUGAGCGGAAAGAGCGUUUCGCUCGUUCUGCCCGGAAAACUCAGUCGAACCUUAUCAUUUAGAGGAAGGAGAAGUCGUAACA
rnacentral:rRNA from 1 species